rnacentral:lncRNA from 1 species
AUGAGCUCCCAGAUUGGUCAGAAUUAUUCCACUGAGGUGGUGGCUGCUGUCAGUCACUUACACUGCAGGCCUUCUACACCUACCUCUCUCUGGGCUUCUAUUUGGACCGCAACAUUGUGGCUCUGGAGGGUGUGGGCCACUUCUUUUGCAAAUUGGCCACGGAGAAGCACGAGGGCCCUCAAGCAUCUCUUGAAAAUGCCAAGCCAGUGCAGCAGCUGGACCCUCUUCCUGGAGGUGCAGAAGCCGUCUCAAGAGGAGUGGGGUAAAAGCCAGGACGCUAUUGAAGCUGCCCUUCUCCUGGAGACGAACCUAGAACAGGCCAUUUUGGAUCUGCAUGGCCUGCGUUCUGCCCGUGCAGACCCCCACAUCUGUGACUUCCUGGAGACCCACUUCCUAGAUAAGGAGGUGAAACUCAUCAAGAAAACAGGUGACCACCCAACCAACCUUCACAGUCUGGCUGGUCCCCAGGCAGGACUGGAUGAAUAUCUCUUCAAAAGGCUCACCCUCAAGCAAGACUAG